rnacentral:pre_miRNA from 1 species
AAGCUUUUUGUUUGGAUUAUGUUUCCUGUUGUUGUAUAAGACGAGCAUAAAGCUUGU